UUUCAAGACGCGUGUUAAAUUCAUGGCUGUUUCAUUCGCAAACAUUACUUAAGUGACGUAAAAUUAUCAGUGAGCAAAACAGUUUUUAUUUCAACGCAAGGAAACAAAACCGAAACUAGCGCAACUGUUUUGCCCAGUUUUGCAGAUACAAAAUGAUCCAAAGCCGAAGCCGUCAAUAGCAUGACGCCAUUUUGAACUUGUGCUGCAUCAUGCGCGAGUACGUUGUCGUUGAGUGGUUCUGAAAUCGCUGCGUUAAGGGCGACUGCAACCAAGCGUUGUGGCAAGAUACAGUGGGAGCUUCUGUCCGUGCUGUGUGAUUGCGACGAGGGGACCACCGCCAGCAGCAGCGUAUCGCCGAUAAGCGCCCGAAGUGCUACGGUUUGCACUGCAUCUUUCAUUGUGAUAUGGGAGAUCGCAACGGACCGAGACGACCAGAUGCAUACGAACGACUACUAGCGGGGAGUGACCUGUGCCAUAUUUCUCUUAACGUCUCAGGUAUUCAAGAAAUGGCAACAGCCAGAAGUCACCAUCUUACCAGCACGUUACGGGUACACUCUGGCGGCUCCUACCCCUGUGUCCUCCCACCACCCUGUCCUGACUACGUCCACUAGGUAGUUGGGAGCCUUUGGCGGCUUCUGCCACUGCAUCCUGCCGCCACCAUGUCCCGACUAUGUCCACUAGGGAGUUGGCAGCCUUAGUGAUGAUGCCAGCAUGCUGACAGCCGACAGAAAGAUUCAGGUUGCCUCGAAAUUUUACCCAAGCCAUGCCGCACACUCAGGCCAGGCCUCUUGCGAACGAUGUAUAACCAGGCUCAACGCAUCAGGGUCGAGGGAGUCCGGAGAUCAAGGCAACCUGCUGUGCAACCAGCGUGCAACCUUUGGUGACCCCUCUACAUGCGCUACCUAUUUCACAGCUGUGCCUCACCUACCAUCUAUCCAAACAGCAUCACCGGCUGUGAUCACUUAUCGAACCAUGGAUGAAUGUUGGGGUGGAGUGAUUUGAACAGACAUUCUAUUUGUCUCUUCAAAUUCUUUGUAAAUAUUUCUGUUAUAAUUCAUAUGUGUCUUUAGUAUCUAGUUUUUAAUAGUUCCUUUCUCUUAGAAUUCUCACCAUCAGCCCCUGCUAUUCUAAUGUAUACCCGCCUUUAAGCCCCGUUUCUCGUAGUUCUUUCGUACUUGUGGAUGUAAUUGAUAGGUUAUUAAUUCUUGUUGUACGGAAGGCUAAAAUACGAACUUACGGCAUUUUUUCUUCCUUUCAUAAUCUACAGCACUGCAAUGUGUUCAAGAAAUGUAACAUAACACGGGCUCUGGUGCAGGAUAAAUUUAAGAGCAAUAUAGAGUACUUAUUUCAAGCACCCAUUAUUUUUUAAAAACUCAAGGAUAUAGGAGCACAAGAAAGAAACUAUUGAACUAGAGAAACAUUGGUUCCCCUCAUAAGUCUGGUAAUAAUGUGACUUCUUUCACUGCAAAGAUACUGGUACUCGCAUACAAGGUUUGAGACAUGAAAGCUAUGAUACCCUUGGCAUUUCUCAGUGCUUAUUUGCCACACUGACGAAUGUCCAAGGCAGCAUAGGUUUCAUGCACACAUUGGUUGUAUUACACCUUUUGAGUAUUGCAUUUCUCAAACACACGGGUUUGCAGCAGUGCUUUAAAUAGCAGAUGUAUUUCCUAAUUUUCAGAAUUUGUUAGUGCAAGAGUAACGCUACAGAUCAUGUAAAAAUAAUUUUACAGACUAUAUUUCCAUGGAUGCAUGUUUCUUCUGAUGACGUAGCAGUGCCAAGUGGUCGGGGGAUGAAUGUCUAUUUCAGAUUUAAAUAUUGGCUUCCAGGCCUGGGUUAGUCUCCUACACUGAGUAUUCUAGAUGAAAGCCCAGUUACUAGAGGAAACUGAAUAAAACUAGCAAUUAUAAACAUCAAAAGAUCUUGUUCGGGACACUAAUGUAACAAUCAGCAAGGUUCUUUGUGCAUUCAUUUCCAGAUUUGCGAGAUUAUAUUUUGACUGGUUUCAUUAAUUCGAGAACAAUUAUUUGUUUAUUCUCAUGCUAGAGUUGGCUGCCCCCAUUCGCAUACAACCCCUUUACAGGCUAAAAAUUAAGUGUAAUAAUAGGCUGUUUUUCGGUUUUGCGCCCUCAGUGUUAAGGGAUGCAAACGGUGACAUACAACAGAAUGCAGAAAAAUGUCCAAGGAAUGCAAGCCGGGCAUGGGACUUAUUAGACAGAUGCAUGCGUGUGCUAUUUAUAAAACUCCCUAUGGUAUGCCUCAAGGCGUUUUGUAACCCUUUGGUAGAAACACUGACACCCACUUAUUAAGGGCAAAUGCUCCCCGAAACAACUUUUUUAAUUUAUACUAGAAAUUUGAAUGUACUGCUAUUCAUAGGGAGUUUUAUGUAGAUUUGAAUUGUCAUUGGUUUUUGUGUAGCUGGUGUUUAGUUAUGUCCUACAUAGUGGCAAUAUAUUUUUAUGGGCACUUGUGUGUAAAAGUUUCGCGAAUGGUUUCAUGCUGUAUCUUAUUUAGCUAGGUGUAUACCGCAAAGUGGCGAUACCUAUCCAAACAGCUUGUACAAUUACUGGAAUUAUGCAAAAAAUAUGAGGCCACUUUAAAUAAUUUUUAGAUUGCAAUUUCAAUUAGAUACUGGUAUUCUGCUUAUCUUGAAGAGUAUGUAUGCCAAAUUUAAUUUGUAUAGGACAAUUAUAAAGCACGAGGUUAUUCUCAUGCUAUUGUGAGAAAAAAUUAUUGAAGUAUUCUCAAUAAUUUUAGUAGCAGGCCUGCCUGCCUGCCUACUAAUCUUGCAUACUUCUAGUAACUUUACGUGCUGUUUGAAUAGAUAUCGGCACCUGGCAGUCUACAGGGAGCUGAGUUAGCUGCAGCACACUGCUUUUUUGUGAAAAUUUAAUACACAAGAAAGUGCCCGCAAAUAUCACUAUGUAUUUUGCCGUUGUAUAGGACAUAACUCAAGAAGCAGCUAAACAAAAACUAAUGGAAUAUAUGAAAUCUGCAUGAAGAACUCUACAAUUGGCUCUCUUUUGAAACCUCUAGUACAAAUAAUAAAAAUAUUUCGAGUAAUAUUCAAUCAGCAAAACGUUCCCCUUGCUACAGUGACCUACAACAUAGCGACGCAAAGCUUAAGGCAAGUCCUCUUGUCGAAGCGAAUAUGGGCUGUCUUCCCAAGGGCUUCUGUUAAAGACGGUGAAUUUUCCUGCAUUUACCAGAAGUGCAAUACUAAAAUGUUUGUGAAUGUGCGAUUGGUAUUGGCACACUAACAGAAAAAAAGACAGUUCUGUGAAAUGUAGACUUGAGACGUGACUUUGUUGGACAUUUAAAUUUUGACUCCAUAUAUUUGUGUUUUGUACUGAGUGUUUCACCGGUGACUGCCACUAAUUAUUGAACAUAACUGCUUCAUGACAGUGCGACAAUUUUCACUAACAUAAAUUUUAGCUGUGGCAGGCAUUAGAAUCACAGUACUCAAUAACGUCUACUUUGUAAGAACUCAGAUUAGCACCAGUUCUGAGAUACAUAUACCCAAAAAGUAAUGAUCAAAUAGAUUUCUUUUCCACACAGAAUUGUCCUACAAGGAUUACAGAAGGAUUUUGGCAAAGUAAUAUUUGAAAGAGCAAAGCAUGUUCCACCAAGUAUGGUGACAAAUAUUUCAGAGCUGCCAGUCUGAGGACUCCUACAAACUAACAAUACCUUCAGCACUGACUAGCUUCAAUAAUGGGAUGUCAGUGUUUUGCUAAAAUUAAUGAAACUUCAAUUAUUGUGAUCUUGUUUAAGAAGACAUAUGUAAUUAACAUGCAGUUCUAAUCUCUGUCACUUUUGUAAAUAUUUCCCAAUUAUUUUUUCAGGCUACAAUUUUUGGUAAUAAUGGUAUUCAUUGCAGAAAAAGCUAGUACAUGGCAUUUAAUAAAGAAGGUACUGGUCAUUGUAGAUUUUCUGUCUUCAGCAUUUGUUCUGUUCCACAGCUGUUUCUUGAAAUUUGAAAUGAUGUACCCAUCACUUUGUUAGCGAUCAACAGGGAAAUCUGUCAGUAUGUUUUGUUUAAAAUGGAGCUGAUCAACCCAAUAGUUAGGCUAUUUGCUAAUUAUAAAUUACAAUGAUAAUAGUACACGACCAUAAGAACAGACUGAUGCUGAAUAGCAGCUGUGCCCAGCUACAUCCACGCAGCUUUGCCACACAAUGUGCAUGUGUUCAGAAGAACCAAAUGCCCCAGAGAGAAAGCAACAGUAACUAAUUGUUCGUCAUCUUGUACAAGCAGAUUAUGCUCUAGAUGUAAAUCAUGCUCAGUAAAUACAUAAGUCAGUCAUGUGAGGUGUCUCACUUUUGGUUGCAAGUUGGAACUUAUUACAAUCUUGGUUGUUUUUAUUUUGUUUCCUUUGUGAGCAUGAGUGACUUAGUUGCCUUGGAACAUAUUAUCAAAACUGUUUCUUUAUCACUGGGAAUCACAAAAUUUCAAUUACACAUAAAAUUUCCAGUUACUGAUAUGGUAGACUUCGAAGUUAAUUCUCUUAUCUACCAAGUAGUUUUAUCAUUCAUUGAAACAUAUCCAUGCAAUGCACAAUGGGAACCCAAAUUAUAAAUAUCUGUUCUUGCUUUCUACCCUGCUCUACAACAUUAAGAAGAUACAAAGCAAAACUAUAAGUUUACAAUUGUUCCCCAUAACCUGAGUUUCACUUAGAAUUUGAAAAACAAAAUUGACAUCCUGCUAUAGUGUGAGAGUUGCUUUGGGCACCAAGUGAACUGCGUAGCAACUGUGCUAGAGUACACAACAAAGCAGAAAAUCGCACCAGAUUGCAAUGGCAGUGGUAAGUUAAGAAGUUAAGAACAGAUGUUUUAUUUCACGCACCAUUAAUGUGGCUUAUCAUCUGCUCCUGUUUUGUGGGAACGCAUACAUUGGGAAGACAAUUUUUUGCACCAAUCUUACCUUAGUUGGACACUUGAGAAAGAUAGAAAUCAAGAACAGGUUGCCAAUCAAGAACACUGUGUUGCCCACAGUAUAUUUAUUAUCUGAAUGUGUUUCACUCUACAACAGACUACUGUGGUAGAUAAUCAUAAAGAAAACACUUCUUUCUGCAUAUAUGCGAAAGUGUAGGGAAGCAUUACAUAACUCAGUCAUGCUUUCCAAGUUAAAAAUCGGAAUAAGGACGAUCACAACAACAUUGUAUGAGUGAUUUGUAAAUGUGGCAUCUAAUGGAACUUAUUUACGCAUGUGCUGAGGGUACAUUACAGCCAGUGCAUAAUCUGUCUGCUCUUAGAGGAUAGCUUGUGAUGAGUAAAAGAAGCCUUCCUCACAUUUUCCUCUUUGUUUCUUUUGGACCUCGGUGCACCAUGUGUAUUGUUACAGCUGCAUGCAUGCAGCUGGGUAUAGUUUAUGUGUUCUGCUACCUCCCUUGUCCUCAUUAUUCAUGUGCUAUCUUUGCCGUAACAAAAUACAGCUACCUGUGCUACAUAUUUUGUCAGCGUGUUUGCAUUAUGGCAAGUUUUGUAUUAGUGGUUAUUGCAAUCUGCGAAAUUGUCUGUCAGCUAUUAUACUUCGUCUUGAAAAGUAUGUUUGUCAACAUAAAUAAACAAUUAGUAUAAAUUUUGCUCUAUUUAUUUUUGUAAUAUUAUCUGUUGUGAAGCUUUUAUACACUGUUGCAUGUUGUAUGACAAUAAAAUUGAUGCACAACUUU